rfam:Dipodomys ordii contig_54343, whole genome shotgun sequence.
GGGAUGGUGGCUCAGUGGUAGAGCACUUGCCUUGCAUGCAUGAGGCCCUGGGUUCAAUUCCUCAGCAUCACA